rfam:Ovis aries breed Texel chromosome 6, whole genome shotgun sequence.
UCCCUGGUGGCUUAGAGGGUGAAGCAUCUGCUUGCAAUGCAGGAGGCCCGGGUUUGAUCCCUGGGUCGUGAA